GACCGCGUGUCCUAAUGGACAAGGCGCCUGACUUCGAAUCAGAAAAUUGCGAGCUCGAAUCUCGUCGUGGUCU
rnacentral:tRNA from 1 species